UACGUAGGGGGCAAGCGUUGUCCGGAUUUAUUGGGCGUAAAGAGCGUGUAGGCGGCUAUACAGGUCCGUUGUGAAAACUCGAGGCUCAACCUCGAGACGCCGAUGGAAACCGUAUGGCUAGAGUCCGGAAGAGGAGAGCGGAAUUCCUGGUGUAGCGGUGAAGUGCGCAGAUAUCAGGAAGAACACCCGUGGCGAAGGCGGCUCUCUGGGACGGUACUGACGCUGAGACGCGAAAGCGUGGGGAGCGAACAGG
rnacentral:rRNA from 1 species